CCCUUAGAUGUUCUGGGCCGCACGCGCGCUACACUGACGAAUGCAACGAGCUUAUAACCUUGGCCGAAAGGUCUGGGUAAUCUCCAAAUUUCGUCGUGAUGGGGAUAGAUUAUUGCAAUUAUUAAUCUUCAACGAGGAAUGCCUAGUAAGCGCAAGUCAUCAGCUUGCGUUGAUUACGUCCCUGCCCUUUGUACACACCGCCCGUCGCUCCUACCGAUUGAAUGGUCCGGUGAAGCGUUCGGACCGUGGCCUUUGGACGGUUCGCCGUCUGUUGGCUGCGGGAAGUUCGUUAAACCUUAUCAUUUAGAGGAAGGAGAAGUCGUAGCA
rnacentral:rRNA from 1 species